CACACCGCCCGUCACACCAUGGGAGUGGGGUUCACCAGAAGCAGGUUGCCUAACCGCAAGAGGCGCCUACCACGGUGAGCUUCAUGACUGGGGUG
rnacentral:rRNA from 1 species